rnacentral:rRNA from 1 species
GACGUAGGGCGCGAGCGUUGUCCGGAUUUAUUGGGCGUAAAGGGCGCGUAGGCGGCCUUCUAAGUCGGACGUGAAAGCCCCAGGCUUAACCUGGGAACUGCGUCCGAUACUGGGAGGCUUGGAUUCGGGAGAGGGAUGUGGAAUUCCAGGUGUAGCGGUGAAAUGCGCAGAUAUCAGGAGGAACACCGGUGGCGAAGGCGGGUCUCUGGGCCGAUACUGACGCUGAGGAGCGAAAGCGUGGGGAGCGAACAGG